rnacentral:rRNA from 1 species
GACGAACGCUGGCGGCGUGCUUAACACAUGCAAGUCGAACGGUGAAGCUCCAGCUUGCUGGAGUGGAUCAGUGGCGAACGGGUGAGUAACACGUGAGCAACCUGCCCCUGACUCUGGAAUAAGCGCUGGAAACGGCGUCUAAUACUGGAUACGAGAAGGGUCCGCAUGGGCACUUUCUGGAAUGUUUUUCGGUUGGGGAUGGGCUCGCGGCCUAUCAGCUUGUUGGUGAGGUAAUGGCUCACCCAGGCGACGACGGGUAGCCGGCCUGAGAGGGCGACCGGCCACACUGGGACUGAGACACGGCCCAGACUCCUACGGGAGGCAGCAGUGGGGAAUAUUGCACAAUGGGCGAAAGCCUGAUGCAGCGACGCCGCGUGAGGGAUGACGGCCUUCGGGUUGUAAACCUCUUUCAGCAGGGAAGAAGCGAAAGUGACGGUACCUGCAGAAGAAGCACCGGCUAACUACGUG